rnacentral:tRNA from 1 species
GCGUCUAUAGCUCAGUUGGUUAGAGCACCACCUUGACUUGACAUGGUGGGGGUCGGUGGUUCGAGUCCACUUAGACGCA